GGGUGACGGCGUGCCUUUUGAAGAAUGAGCCUGCGAGUUAGUGGCAUGUGGCGAGGUUAACCCGGGUGGGGGAGCCGUAGCGAAAGCGAGUCUGAAUAGGGCGUUAGAGUCGCGUGUCCUAGACCCGAAGCGGAGUGAUCUAGCCAUGGGCAGGCUGAAGCGUGGGUAAGACUGCGUGGAGGGCCGAACCCACCAACGUUGAAAAGUUGGGGGAUGACCUGUGGUUAGGGGUGAAAGGCCAAUCAAACUCCGUGAUAGCUGGUUCUCCCCGAAAUGCAUUUAGGUGCAGCGUCGUGUGUUUCUUGCCGGAGGUAGAGCACUGGAUGGUCUAGGGGGCCUACAAGCUUACCGAAAUCAGCCAAACUCCGAAUGCCGGUAAGUGAGAGCGCGGCAGUGAGACUGCGGGGGAUAAGCUUCGUAGUCGAGAGGGAAACAGCCCAGAUCACCAGCUAAGGCCCCUAAGCGUGUGCUAAGUGGAAAAGGAUGUGGGGUCGCAUAGACAACCAGGAGGUUGGCUUAGAAGCAGCCAUCCUUGAAAGAGUGCGUAAUAGCUCACUGGUCAAGUGGUUCCGCGCCGACAAUGUAGCGGGGCUCAAGCACACCGCCGAAGCUGUGGCAUUCACGCGUGUACUUCGCAUGGCCUUUGGGUUGUGUGUAGGUGUGUGGAUGGGUAGGGGAGCGUCGUGCCGGGGGUGAAGCAGCCGAGUGAUCGAGUUGUGGACACGGUGCGAGUGAGAAUGCAGGCAUGAGUAGCGAAAGAAGGGUGAGAAACCCUUCCGCCGGAUGACCAAGGGUUCCAGGGCCAGGUUAAUCCGCCCUGGGUGAGUCGGGGCCUAAGGCGAGGCCGAGAGGCGUAGUCGAUGGAUAACGGGUUGAUAUUCCCGUACCCGCGAAGGAGCGUCCCUGAUGAACCUCGUUGUGCUAACCAUCCGAGCUUGGUGUGGUCUUCGGACUGUGCUGGGGGAGCGUGGGAACCUGGCGGGUAGUAGUCAAGCGAUGGGGUGACGCAGGAAGGUAGCUGAGCCCGGCCGGUGGUUGUGCCGGGGUAAGCGUGUAGGCUGUGUCGUAGGUAAAUCCGCGGCGCGUGUGGCUGAGACGUGAUGCCGAGCCGAUUCAGGUGAAGUCAGUGAUCCUAUGCUGUCGAGAAAAGCCUCUAGCGAGUUCCGAGCGGCCCGUACCCUAAACCGACACAGGUGGUCAGGUAGAGAAUACCAAGGCGAUCGGGUGAACUGUGGUUAAGGAACUCGGCAAAUUGCCCCCGUAACUUUGGGAGAAGGGGGGCCGGAGACGUGAAGGCACGUGCUGCUGGAGCGUUGUAUGGCCGCAGAGAGCAGGGGGAAGCGACUGUUUACUAAAAACACAGGUCCAUGCGAAGAAGUAAUUCGAUGUAUAUGGACUGACGCCUGCCCGGUGCUGGAACGUUAAGGGGACCUGUUAGUCUUUCGGGGCGAAGCGGAGAACUUAAGCGCCAGUAAACGGCGGUGGUAACUAUAACCAUCCUAAGGUAGCGAAAUUCCUUGUCGGGUAAGUUCCGACCUGCACGAAUGGCGUAACGACUUCCCCACUGUCUCAACCACAGGCCCGGCGAAAUUGCAUUACGAGUAAAGAUGCUCGUUACGCGCGGCAGGACGGAAAGACCCCGGGACCUUUACUAUAGCUUGACAUUGGUAUCUGAAUUAGCUUGUGUAGGAUAGGUGGGAGCCGGUGAAGUGUGCACGCCAGUGCAUGUGGAGGCAAUCUUGAAAUACCACUCUGGUUGGUUUGGGUAUCUAACUUCGGACCGUUAUCCGGUUCAGGGACAGUGUCUGGUGGGUAGUUUAACUGGGGCGGUUGCCUCCUAAAGGGUAACGGAGGCGCCCAAAGGUUCCCUCAGCCUGGUUGGCAAUCAGGUGUUGAGUGUAAGUGCACAAGGGAGCUUGACUGUGAGACUGACGGGUCGAGCAGGGACGAAAGUCGGGACUAGUGAUCCGGCACUGGCGAAUGGAAGCGGUGUCGCUCAACGGAUAAAAGGUACCCCGGGGAUAACAGGCUGAUCUUCCCCAAGAGUCCAUAUCGACGGGAUGGUUUGGCACCUCGAUGUCGGCUCGUCGCAUCCUGGGGCUGUAGCAGGUCCCAAGGGUUGGGCUGUUCGCCCAUUAAAGCGGUACGCGAGCUGGGUUUAGAACGUCGUGAGACAGUUCGGUCCCUAUCCGCCGUGCGCGUAGGAUACUUGAGAAGGGCUGUCCCUAGUACGAGAGGACCGGGACGGACGAACCUCUGGUGUGCCAGUUGUCCCGCCAGGGGCACGGCUGGUUAGCUACGUUCGGAAGGGAUAACCGCUGAAAGCAUCUAAGCGGGAAGCCUGCUUCAAGAUGAGGUAUCCCAUCCACCUUUGG
rnacentral:rRNA from 1 species